AAAAAUAUUUUUUAGAAAAUUAGGACUUGAGAAGAGAUUAUUGGGUUUGUAAGCGUAAAUUAAACUUACUCUCAAACUCGAUGCAAAGAUGGUAAUUCUCGAUUCACAACAGUACCCUUGGAAUAUAUAUUUUAUCAAGUUUUCUAGUUUUAAUAAUAUUUUAUUCUAAUUGUUUCUACAUAUGUAUUGUCCUGCAGUUGAAAUGCGCUAGCCGUAGUACAUUUCAAUUUCCGAGCCGGGUCAACUGUAUCGGCCAGACAUUGGGUUAAUAAAGCAGACACUCAAUAGGACUAGCCGGUGCAACAAUGUUGACGCGGUCAGACUUUAGGUUGAAUUUACUUUUACUAAAGGGUCAGAGGAGAGGAGCGUGGAAACGAAACAACUACAUUAUAAUAUCUUAAUACUUGAUCAGAUAAAGCUUUAAAGGGAACUGUUGUGAAUCGGGCAUUGUCAUCUUUGCAUGGAGGGUAACUAAAAAAUUUACGUAUAGAACCUUUAAGAUAUAUUUCCAAAUGAAGUUUUCAUUACUUUGUUCUGUCCAGCUUUUUCUUAUUGUCUGUGUACAAUCAGCUUCAAUAGGUAAAGGUUUAGGUGAACCAGCAUUUGGAACCAAGAUUAAGCUUAUCAUGCAGAAACGAAGGCCGGAAAUGGAUGUUAACGGUUUCUAUGGGGAUACAUUCUCUGGAGGUUUCGGUGAUUUCUACACUGCAAGGAAACGAUCUCUUUUAGACAAAGAUAUUGGGAUUGCUGUUCCAAGGGACAUUAAGCUUUACUAUGCAGCUGAGAAAGUCAAGGUAACCUUCUUAUACAGGGUGUUCUAAUAAACAUGAGACGGAUCAAAAAUCGUCUUUGAUUUCAAUUUAUUGAUAAAGGAUAAAGAUCGUUUUGUUAGUUUAAUAAAAAAUGAAAUCUGGAAAUGAUCCUCAAUAUCUCCGUUAAAUUGAAAAUGAUAGACAAUAUUAUGAAUAUCCCGAGGCAAGUAGUUUUCGGUUUAAAGGGACCGUUCUCGUAUUUGGGUAAUUCUGAACGAAUAAUCGGCUUUUUCUCCGGCCACAGUUGUCUUUGAAAAGUAAGACUAUUAACAAUCAAGAGCGAAUAGGCUGUUUAGUUUACCCUGAAAUUACCGAAAUAAGUGAACGGUCCAUUUAAAUGUAUUAACUGGGAUACUAUUAAAAUUAUGUUAACGUAAUCAUGCUGCGUGUAACAAUGACGAUUAAGAAGUCAUCAUUGGAUUCCCAUGAAAAUUAAUUCACCCUGUCUACUGCCAACAAUUUGUGUUGAUUGAAUAAGAAGUACGUCAGAUUAAGUUUUGAUAAAAGAUAAACACAAUCAUUUCUUUUAUUCAACAAAUGUUGACGAAUGAUACAAUUUAUCUUUUGACGAAAAUGUUGCUAAGCUGAAUUUGGCUCCAGUGCUCCGACAAAUUUUGUAAGAUAAAAAUUUGACAUUUCUUAGAGUGAAACUUAAUUUAUGCCCGGGUAACUUGGCGUUAAUAGCGUGAUAUAAUAUCCGUAAAUUUGUUAUGCUUAAUUAACCCAACCUGUGCCAUCAAAAUACUAAGAACCUCUAAUGAAAGGUUUUUUGUUUCAAGGGGUUGUACACGAAAGGAAUUGAGUCUUUUUCACAAAAUCUGAUUUUCUAAUCACUAUAU